UAGAUACCCUUGUAGUCCACGCCCUAAACGAUGCACACUAGCUGUUUCGAGUAUCGACCCUCGGAGUGGCGUAGCUAACGCGUUAAGUGUGCCGCCUGGGAAGUACGGCCGCAAGGCUAAAACUCAAAUGAAUAGACGGGGACUCGCACAAGCGGUGGAACAUGAGGUUUAAUUCGACGGUAAACGAAGAACCUUACCAGGGCUUGAAAUGCUCUUGAAGGAUUCCGGAAACGGGAUUCGUCGUAGUGCAAAUUACGACAAGAGCACAGGUGUUGCAUGGUUAUUUGAAUCGGAUGACAGAAGACGGAGAAUCAGAAGACGGAGAGUAGUUUCUUCAAUUUCUCUAUCCUCUGCAUGCCGAUAUGACCCUUUCAUGAGUAAUCAUGAUCGAAAACUAGCUCAUAAUGGAGAAACCUUAUAUACUUCCACUUAAUGAUAAAAGAUGUUGAAGAUUUAGAUGUCUAUAACCGCUCUCUUCGGUUGUUAAAACCGUUAGGGGAUUUCGUAGGCAUGAUCCCGAAAGAUGAAUAUCAUAUUCGGCAUCAGAUAAUGUCUGCUGCCCAUGGUAUUCCAGCGCAAAUCGCUGAGGGGUUUGCAAAACGAAGGUCAGUAAAAGAAUGCAAACGUUUUUGGGAAAUGGCGCUUGGUUCAAGUGACGAAGUCAUUACUCAUAUUCGUUCAGUGAUAGUUAGGGCAUUUAAGAACAUAUCCGAUGAUGAUGCGAAAAGCAUAAUCGCGGAGUAUAAGAUCGUAUCUAAGCAACUCAAUAAUCUAAUCAAAAAGUGGAGAGGUAAAGAGGCAAUUCCAUGGGAAGUUCGACCUUAGUCGGACCCCUUAGAGACUAAGUUCGAGAGAACUUGAUGGUAGUCUUUGAAUUACCAUAAUACGCUAGGAUCCAGAAUUUCUGGAUUAUGGAAUAGUCCGAUCCUCCAAGUGAUUGGAGCAGUAAGAAGCGGGACGUUUUCGGUUCUGAGACACCGAUACACUGUCCUCUGUCUUCUGAAUUAUGGUCGUCAGCUCGUAUCGUGAGACGUUCCCUUAAGUGGGGUAACGAGCGCAACCCCCAUCCAAUGUUUUAUAUGUCAUUGGAAACUGCCCCGCCCUUUUGGCAGUAUAGGAUAGUGCCAAAAGGGCGGGGAGGAAGGUGGGGAUGACGUCAAAUCCGCAUGGCCCUCUGAUGCCCUGGGCUACACUCGUGUUACAAUGGCCGACACAAAAGGCCGCGAAGCCGUAAGGCGGAGCCAACCCUAGAAAAUCGGCCUCAGUUCAGAUUGAGGGCUGCAACUCGCCCUCAUGAAGAUGGAAUCGCUAGUAAUCGUGGGUCAGCUAUACCACGGUGAAUACGUUCUCGAGUCCUGUACUCACCGCCCGUCAAGCCAAGGGAGCCGGUAAUACCCGAAGUUCCACGUUUCGUGGGCCCACGGUAAGAUCGGUGACAAGGGCUAAGUCGU
rnacentral:rRNA from 1 species